UAGGGAAUCUUCCGCAAUGGACGAAAGUCUGACGGAGCAACGCCGCGUGAGUGAAGAAGGAUUUCGGUUCGUAAAACUCUGUUGUUAGGGAAGAAAAAAUGUAUAGUAACUAUAUACAAAAGAGACGGUACCUAACCAGAAAGCCACGGCUAACUACGUGCCAGCAGCCGCGGUAAUACGUAGGUGGCAAGCGUUGUCCGGAAUUAUUGGGCGUAAAGCGCGCGCAGGUGGUUUAGAAAGUCUGAUGUGAAAGCCCACGGCUCAACCGUGGAGGGUCAUUGGAAACUAAUAAACUUGAGUGCAGGAGAGAAAAGUGGAAUUCCUAGUGUAGCGGUGGAAUGCGCAGAUAUCAGGAGGAACACCGGUGGCGAAAGCGGCUUUUUGGCCUGCAACUGACACUGAGGCGCGAAAGCGUGGGGAGCAAACAGG
rnacentral:rRNA from 1 species